GAUGAACGCUGGCGGCGUGCCUAAUACAUGCAAGUCGAGCGAACAGACGAGGAGCUUGCUCCUCUGACGUUAGCGGCGGACGGGUGAGUAACACGUGGAUAACCUACCUAUAAGACUGGGAUAACUUCGGGAAACCGGAGCUAAUACCGGAUAAUAUAUUGAACCGCAUGGUUCAAUAGUGAAAGACGGUUUUGCUGUCACUUAUAGAUGGAUCCGCGCCGCAUUAGCUAGUUGGUAAGGUAACGGCUUACCAAGGCAACGAUGCGUAGCCGACCUGAGAGGGGGACCGGCCAAACUGGAACGGAGACACGGUCCAGACUCCUACGGGAGGCAGCAGUAGGGAAUCUUCCGCAAUGGGCGAAAGCCUGACGGAGCAACGCCGCGUGAGUGAUGAAGGUCUUCGGAUCGUAAAACUCUGUUAUUAGGGAAGAACAAAUGUGUAAGUAACUAUGCACGUCUUGACGGUACCUAAUCAGAAAGCCACGGCUAACUACGUG
rnacentral:rRNA from 1 species